CGCUGGCGGCGUGCCUAACACAUGCAAGUCGAACGAGGUCCAUCCUUCGGGAGAAGACCUAGUGGCGAACGGGUGAGUAACACGUGAGGAACCUGCCCCGAAGACCGGGAUAACCCUCCGAAAGGAGAGCUAAUACCGGAUACCCCCACCGAACCGCAUGGUUUGGUGAGGGAAAAUGGAUUCCGCUUCGGGAGGGCCUCGCGACCUAUCAGCUAGUUGGUGGGGUAAACGGCCCACCAAGGCAUCGACGGGUAGCUGGUCUGAGAGGACGAUCAGCCACACUGGGACUGAGACACGGCCCAGACUCCUACGGGAGGCAGCAGUGGGGAAUCUUGCGCAAUGGGCGAAAGCCUGACGCAGCAACGCCGCGUGGGGGAUGAAGGCUCUCGGGUUGUAAACCCCUUUCAGCAGGGACGAAUCAAGACGGUACCUGCAGAAGAAGCCCUGGCUAACUACGUG
rnacentral:rRNA from 1 species